AUUGAACGCUGGCGGCAGGCCUAACACAUGCAAGUCGAGCGGCAGCGGAAAGUAGCUUGCUACUUUGCCGGCGAGCGGCGGACGGGUGAGUAAUGUCUGGGAAACUGCCUGAUGGAGGGGGAUAACUACUGGAAACGGUAGCUAAUACCGCAUAAUGUCGCAAGACCAAAGAGGGGGACCUUCGGGCCUCUUGCCAUCAGAUGUGCCCAGAUGGGAUUAGCUAGUAGGUGGGGUAACGGCUCACCUAGGCGACGAUCCCUAGCUGGUCUGAGAGAAUGACCAGCCACACUGGAACUGAGACACGGUCCAGACUCCUACGGGAGGCAGCAGUGGGGAAUAUUGCACCAUGGGCGCAAGCCUGAUGCAGCCAUGCCGCGUGUAUGAAGAAGGCCUUCGGGUUGUAAAGUACUUUCGGCGGGGAGGAAGGUGUUGUGGUUAAUAACCACAGCAAUUGACGUUACCCGCAGAAGAAGCACCGGCUAACUCCGUGCCAGCCGCCGCAGUAA
rnacentral:rRNA from 1 species